CACCUGACUAUCCUCCACCAGUCAUACAAGGAGAAUAGUCUAAUGCCUAUCAAAAAGAGAUCUGACCCAAGCAAGCACAGGUUACACAUGAAGCAUCAGGACUUGCAGCGAGUGGUGAACUUCAUCAACACCUAUGCAGAGGAUAAUGCAAUAGUAUUACCUGGACACCAACCAGGACACAAACACUUUGGUCGAAAGCUGCUGCCAUGUCAUGUGACACAAACUGCAGUGUGGCAUCUCUACAAGGAAAUGAUGACAACACAUGAGGUAUGUGUAGUCGCGCUGUCUUCCUUCAGGAAUUUGUGGACCACCUGACUCCGUACUUUAGCCUAAUGUCACAGAUCAAGCAGUACCAGCACUUCAGGAGCAUGGUGUUGUUGUCGCCAAGGAGCGUUCAGACUCAGUUGGGACCAGGUUUCAGCUGCUCCCAGUCAUCAUGACUAUCUGCACUGCCUCUAUGCACAUUCACACGACUUUCUCUUAACACACACGGCAUACGUUGCUGCUAUUAUAAAAAAUGCAUCCUGCUGCUCAGCCACUUUACUGCUUAUUGUAUGCAUAUAUGUAACUACCUUGUGUAUCACCAGUAUCUCUGACAUCGUUAUUGAUAUUGUUCUUGUACAUACUGUAUAGUUUGUUCUUUCUCUACUGGCAUUGACACUUAUUGUUAUUGGUUUUUAUAUAUUGACACUUUCUAUUUUUUAUAUUGCAAGUAACCAUUUGGUUGUACCGUUUACACUUUCUGUAGAGACCCAUCCACUUGGCAAUAUGUAUAACCCCCAGUGGCUGGGGGUUAUAGAAUUUCUUUCACAUGACCCAUCAAGUUAGACAAGUGUGUCUGGGUAAGCGUCAUCUAAUAAUUCUAAAAU